rnacentral:rRNA from 1 species
CCUACGGGUGGCAGCAGUGAGGAAUAUUGGUCAAUGGGCGGAAGCCUGAACCAGCCAAGUCGCGUGAGGGAUUAAGGCCCUGCGGGUCGUAAACCUCUUUUGCCGGGGAGCAGAGGUCCGGACGUGUCCGGGCCGGGAGAGUACCCGGAGAAAAAAAGCAUCGGCUAACUCCGUGCCAGCAGCCGCGGUAAUACGGAGGAUGCGAGCGUUAUCCGGAUUUAUUGGGUUUAAAGGGUGCGUAGGCGGGCAUUUAAGCCGGCGGUCAAAGGUCGGGGCUCAACCCCGGCCUGCCGUCGGAACUGGGUGCCUUGAGUGGGCGAGAAGUAGGCGGAAUGCGUGGGGUAGCGGUGAAAUGCAUAGAUAUCACGCAGAACCCCGAUGGCGAAGGCAGCAUACCGGCGGCCUACUGACGCUGAGGCACGAAAGUGCGGGUAUCGAACAGGAUUAGAUACCCCAGUAGUC